rnacentral:misc_RNA from 1 species
AAGUCGUAACAAGGUCUCCGUAGGUGAACCUGCGGAGGGAUCAUUAACACGUUUCUACAAACGUUUCCAACCAAACCGUGAAUCUACCAACCUCGCAGCCAUUGGAUUGCAGGUAGGGCUUUGGCUCUGCUUGUCUUUCAGCGGUUGUUUGAAUUUUUGUUUUUAAACCAUUUCCAAUUUUACCAUACGGUUUAUAGUACUGUGGCUUCGUUAACUCGUUGACACUGAAAUAAAUCAAUGUAAAGCACAACUCUUAGCAACGGAUAUCUUGGUUCUC